rnacentral:lncRNA from 1 species
UUUUUUGCUCUUCCUCUCCUUUCUCCUUGUCCUCCUCUAUUAUCCAUAUUUCAUCUCUGUAUUUCGGGUGUUUGCGGGUGUUUUCGUGUAAGAAAUCCUAGCUAUUUGGGGUGACAAAUCUAAUGUGCACGAGUAUCAUAUUCCCGUACUCCUCUUCUUCUCUCCAUAUCCCCUCUCUUCUUCAUAUUUCAUCUUUGGUUUAGGAGUUGUAAGGUGGUGUUUUCAAGUGAGAAAUCCUCUUGUUUGAAGACCCAAAUUGAAGACGAAGUUGGAAGAAGAAGAAGAAGACGACCCAAAGUAGGAAAAAGAAGAAAGUUGAAACCGGUUGAAUUUUUUGUUAAUCCAAAGACAGUUGUGUCAUAAUUAUUUGGGUAGUUCUAUAUUAAAAAAAUAAAUUGUGAGUAUUGAUGAUGUGUUUUACAAAAUUGUAUCUGUUAUAACAUAUAUAUUUCGUGUUUUUUGUUAGAUUUAUGGAUUGAUUUCAUUAAUGAAAAAUAAAGUGUUUAUAUCCAUAAUUGAACAUUGAAAAUGAUAUAUUGGAAUGUUGUCACCAUUGAAAAUGUAGAGAGGUUUUGAGAGGAUUUUGGAGUGGUAAUGAUAUUUAUAUUUUAUUUGGCAUUUGAUUGUAAGUUAGUAAUAUGAUUUUUUUUUUUAAAUGUGAAAUAAAUUUUAUGGGGAAUUUGGAGGUGUAAUUUUGUUUUUAAUUUAUUUGGUAUUUGUUAUUGUUGUAAUAUAUGAAUAUAAAAUUUAUUGAAAUAUGAGAUAAACUUUUGUUGAGAUAGUGUGAUAGUGGAAGUAUAUUUCAUUUACUAUGUAUUGUUUUGAUUUCAUUUUUUCCUGUAACCAUCUUGAUUGUUGUCAUUUAUACAUUGAACCAAUAUGAAAAAAAUAAUGAUAAUAAGUUAUCACAUGUAAUUUUUAAAAAAAUGACGAAGCCCCUAACAUUUUUAAUAUAGAAGAAUGGAAAUGGAAAAAGAAGUUAAUUUAUAGUAUCUGAAAUCAUAUUAUAAAAUUGACUUAUGAUUUGAUUUAAUUUUUAGGAGCAAGCGUGAUGGUGUUGAAGUUCCUUGAAAUCCAAAGAGACCUAUGGAAGCUUGGAUUCAUUACUAGUAAUAGUAAGGCAAAAUAGAAAUAUGUAAAAUAACAUGUUUUUUUUUUUUUUUUUUGUGGUUGUUAUAGUUAUAUUUGUUUGAAAUUGUUUUGUAGUAACAAUCAAUUGACCAUGAUCAGUGAAGAUGAUAAAUGAAUGAAGAUAAAUGAUGAUGUAAGGAGUAAUACUUUUGUGGCUAAUAUAAUUAAAUUUUAAAAUUCAAUUUUGAAGUAAGUGGUAAAUUAAUGUAGUUGAGGAAAAAAUUAAGCAAGAAGUGGAAUACGCUUCCAAGAGUAGAAAAAAAAGGUUUCAUGGCAAAGUCAAAAGGAAGUUCAAAACAGUAUUUGCUUCAAAAAGUUAUGGGUCCAAAGGUAUACUUUUUGUAAUGAAUAAAAACUUUCAUUACUUGUGUAUUUGUCGCAAAUUAUAUUAAUGUAAAUAUGUUUGUGCAUCUUUCCAGUUAUAUCUUCAGACUCGAUCCUUACCCAAGCCAGUAAUUAGAGUUGUUGAAGAGUUUGAACCAAAGCAAAAGAUAGCCAUAGAAGAAAUUGGAUUUGGUAGCCUCUUGCAACUUCGACGUAGGAAAAUUGAUAAUGGGUUAUGUCUUUGGUUGGUAAAUAGUUUCAAUCCAAACACUUAUAUGUUAGAGGUGUAUAAUACUUGUAUCGAAUUAUCCCCAAUUGAUGUUGAAUUUAUUAUGGGAUUGAGGGCUAGAGGGUUAAAGAUUGACAUGAACAAAGAUGUUAUCAAUAAUAAUAAUUUAUGUAAAAAAUAUUAUGAUAAAAAGGGGUGAUUGCCAUUAGUAAUGUUUGAAAAUCAAAUUAGAGAGGAUAGAGAAGGUGAAAAUGAUUUCAAAGUUCGUUUUGUAUUAUUUGUAUUGGCUGCAUUGUUAUGCCCGAUAAUUUAUUUUUGUGAAAUGUUCCUUUUUACAUUUUGUGGAAGACAUUGAUUUAAUAAAGAAGACGAAUUAGAUUGAAUUUGUGUUGUUUUAUCUUGUGCACAGGAUUGAAGAGUUUAAUAGGAAGAAACAAAGUGGGAUUUGCGAUUGCUUAUUGUUUUUGAUGGUAAUGUCCUUAUAUAUAAUUUACGUCAUAUUGAAUUUUAUAAAAGAUUUAGUAAACUAACUAUAUAUCCUUGUAAAAUAUAUUUGUAGUUAUUCUACCACGAGCAUAUAUCGUUCCAAUAGAAAUUUC